rnacentral:rRNA from 1 species
UACGGGGGGGGUAAGCGGUGUUCGGAAUUACUGGGCGUAAAGGGCUCGUAGGCGGCCAACUAAGUCGUACGUGAAAUCCCUCAGCUUAACUGGGGAACUGCGUGUGAUACUGGAUGGCUUGGAUUUGGGAGAGGGAUGCGGAAUUCCAGGUGUAGCGGUGAGAUGCGUAGAUAUCAGGAGGAACACCGGUGGCGAAGGCGGGUCUCUGGGCAGUAACUGACGCUGAGGAGCGAAAGCGUGGGGAGCGAACAGG